GCAUUCACUUCGGCAGCACAUAUACUAAAAUUGGAAUGAUACAGAGAAGAUUAGCCUGACCCUUGCGCGAGGAUGACACCUAAAUUUCGUGAAGCGUUCCAUAUUUAA
rnacentral:snRNA from 1 species